GAUGAAGAACGCAGCGAAAUGCGAUAAGUAGUGUGAAUUGCAGAAUUCAGUGAAUCAUCGAAUCUUUGAACGCACAUUGCGCCCUUUGGUAUUCCUUAGGGCAUGCCUGUUCGAGCGUCAUUUAAACCUUCAAGCUCAGCUUGGUGUUGGGUGACUGUCCGCUUCACCGCGGACUCGCCUCAAAAUUAUUGGCGGCCGGUACAUUGGCUUCGAGCGCCGCAGAAACGCGAACUCGGGCCCGUCGUAUUGGCUCCCAGAAGCUAUCUUCACAAUUUUGACCUCGGAUCAGGUAGGGAUACCCGCUGAACUUAAGCAUAUCAAUAAGCGGAGGA
rnacentral:misc_RNA from 1 species